AGCAGCAGCCACGGGAAUACAGAGGGUGCAAGCGUUAAUCGGAAUUACUGGGCGUAAAGCGCGCGUAGGUGGUUUGUUAAGUUGGAUGUGAAAUCCCCGGGCUCAACCUGGGAACUGCAUCCAAAACUGGCAAGCUAGAGUAUGGUAGAGGGUGGUGGAAUUUCCUGUGUAGCGGUGAAAUGCGUAGAUAUAGGAAGGAACACCAGUGGCGAAGGCGACCACCUGGACUGAUACUGACACUGAGGUGCGAAAGCGUGGGGAGCAAACAGGAUUAGAUACCCCUGUAGUCCCUGUCUCUUAUAC
rnacentral:rRNA from 1 species